ensembl:lncRNA
CCCUAAGCUCUUUCCAGUGCAUAGUGGGGAGCUCCUGGCUUGCCCAUCUGGCACAUCCUGGUAGAGUGGGAGAUAGCAGAGUUACAAAUAACUCUGUGAGCUUGCACAAGAGCUGGAGAACUCUUUUGACCUGGCUUUGAGCCUUUGACAGAUUGUCUCCCAAUAAACUUCUUCUACACUCCCUGAGACAGGAAGAAAUCUAUAGUGAAAUAAGCUUGUAGGAGCAGCACUAUAAAUCCACGGCAUAAGGAAAAAUGGUUCUUUGACUUCCUUCACAAUAUAACAUCAUGUCAAAAAUAGACUUGAGAUCCUGUUAUUUAUAUUACUGAAGUACUGAAUGGCCUUGCCUGAGAACAGGCUGUUCCAGCAUUAACUGGAGUGCUGUGUUUCAAUGGGAGAUGGUCUGUGCCAUGAAGAACUGACACGUGAGGUAAACAAGAAGGACAAGGAGUCUUCUGACAGCUGGAGCAGCCCACGACCACCAGCUGGAAGUGGUGAAGUACAAGUGGCAAAUCUAAGCCAUUUUCCAAGGUAUCC